UGACUGGUGACAGAGUGAGAGAGGGGGUGACUAAUGACAGAGUGAGAGAGGGUGUGACUAGUGAGAGAGGGGGUGACUGUCACUAGUCACCCCAUCCCUCUCUCUGUCACUAGUCACUCCUUCCCUAACUCUGUCACUGUGUCACCCCCUCCCUCACUCUGUCACUAGUCACCCCCUCUCUCACUAUGUCACUAGUCA